UCCAGCUGAUCCUGCUGGCGGGUACUGCUAUCGAAAUCCGACUUAGCCAUGCAAGUUCAAAAAGCACAGCAAGUGUUUUUGGCGAACGGCUCAGUAACACGUAGCUAACCUACCUUUCAGAGGAGUUAAUCCCGGGAAACUGGGGAUAAUGCUUCAUAGACAACAUUUUCUGGAAUGAUUUGUUGUUGAAAAGAUGCAAACUAUUGCUGUUUGUUAUCGCUGUAAGAUGGGGCUGCGGUGGAUUAGGUUGUUGGCGGGGUAAUUGCCCACCAAGCCGAUGAUCCAUACGGGCCUUGAGAGAGGUAGCCCGUAGAAGGGAACUGAGAUAAGGUCCCUAGCCCUACGGGGUGCAGCAGUCGCGAAACCUCUACAAUGCGCGAAAGCGUGAUAGGGGGAUUUCGAGUGCCAACUUUGUUGGCUUUUAUUAAGCCUAAAUCGCUUGAUGAAUAAAGGGGGGGUAAUAUACGUGCCAGCCGCCGCGGUAAUACGUAAUCCCUAAGUGGUACCCACUAAUAUUGGGCCUAAAACGUCUGUAGCCUGUUAAGAAAGUCUUUAGUGAAAUCUUCCAGCUUAACUGGUAGAAUUGCUAGAGAAACUUCUUGGCUCGAGACCGGUAGACGUGAAGGGAAUUUUUGGGGUAGCGGUGAAAUGUUAUGAUCCUAAAAAGACCACCAGUAGCGAAGGCGCUUCACGAGGACGGAUCUGACGGUGAGAGACGAAAGCUGGGGGAGCGACCCGGAUUAGAUACCCGGUUAGUCCCAGCCGUAAACGAUGUGGACUCGGUGUCCUAGCACCUACAUGGUGUGGGGGUGCCAAAGCGAAGGCGUUAAGUCCACUGCCUGGGAAGUACGCUCGCAAGGGUGAAACUUAAUGGAAUUGGCGGGGACGCACUACAAGGGGUGGAUGCUGCGGUUCAAUUGGAUGAAUCGCCUGAUAAUCUUACCAGGGACGACAGCUUUAUGAUGGUCAGUCUGAAGGGCUUACCUGAGUCGCUGAGAGGUGUUGUAUGGUCAUCGUCAGCUCGUACUAAAGCGUCCUGUCAACUCAGGCAACGGGCGAGACCCACAUUCAUAGUUGCUAGUUCAGCUUUUGCUGGGCGCACUCUAUGAAGACUGCUAUGGCAACAUAGAGGAAGGAGUGGGCAACGGUAGAUCUGUAUGGCCCGAAUUUCCUGGGCAACACGCGGCAUACAAUGGUUGAGACAAUGGGCUCCAACUCCGAAAGGAGACGGUAAUCUCUUAACCUCAACCUCAGUUCGAAUUGAGGGUUGUAACUCACCCUCAUGAAGAUGGAAUCCCCAGUAAUCGUGCGUCAUUAUCGCACGGUGAAUAAGUCCCUGCGUCUUGCACACACCGCCCAUCAAGCCAGCUGAGUAAGGUUUAGAUGAGGUGUUUUCAUUAGAGGACAUCGAUUCUGAGUCUCGCAAGGCGGGC
rnacentral:rRNA from 1 species